UGGGCCCGGUCUAGUAGCACGCACUCCAUGCUCCGCCCAGACAUGCCUCCCUCUGGGCCCUCAGGCUGGUCUGUCUCCCGUCCACAGCCUUUUCUGCCUUCAGUGCUUGUCCCUUGGCUUGGGGCCUGCUCAUCUUCUACAUUGUGUUGCUGAGGCCACUUCCACUCAGAGGCCUUUCUGCCUCGUCCCCUAGCCUUGCUCCCAGAGGUCCAAGCUGGAACUGUCCAUCUGCUUGUUGGUUUUCCCCACCAGUAUCCAGGAACGAAUCUCAACACAGUGGCCAUCUUCAUGCAUCUGUACCAGAAAGGAAAUGGUAAAAGGAGGAAUCUUGGAACAUCAAAAGAAUAUGAUAAGCAAAAUCUUGACUCCACAGACUGAGUGAUGCGGUGGGGAAGAGCUGGGCAGACAGGAAACUGCCAUCUACCUGGGAGACUGGGAAGUUGUGGAGAGGGGCUGCCCUUAAAGAGAGUGCAAGCAUGCCCACAACGAAUGUUUUUGUGGCCCAGCCAAUAUAACGGUAUGUAAGAAACGUUUUAAUAAAAAUUUUGUAACUUAAUUUUUACAAUAUCCUGUUAUACAUAAUUAUUAAUAACAAACUACAAUGUUCACUAAUGACUGAUUACUAUAAUCGUGUUGCAUUCAUCUCCCUUACACACUUUACAUGCAGGUGCACCGUUUCUCCCCACUAAUAUUAACAGCGAAUAUUUUAGCAGCCGAUUGCUACGUCAUUAGUCUUGUACUGACUUCUUUGGUGUGCGCUUUCAGAGAACAAGAAAAAUAGGUUUAUUUGCAUUAUGCUUCUUA